UACGUAGGGUGCGAGCGUUAAUCGGAAUUAUUGGGCGUAAAGGGUGCGCAGGCGGCUAAAGCAAGUCGAGUGUGAAAGCCCCGGGCUUAACUUGGGAAUUGCGCUCGAAACUACUUGGCUGGAGUGUGGCAGAGGAAGGUGGAAUUCCGCAUGUAGCGGUGAAAUGCGUUGAGAUGCGGAGGAACGCCAAUGGCGAAGGCAGCCUUCUGGGCCAACACUGACGCUCAUGCACGAAAGCGUGGGGAGCAAA
rnacentral:rRNA from 1 species